CUCUUGACCUCGGAUCAGGU
rnacentral:rRNA from 1 species